rnacentral:sRNA from 1 species
AAAUCCGCUAACGAAGCUUCUUCUUUAUUCUCAAAGCUUAGAUGGUGAAGCCAAAAUUCUUAUGAGUUUUUGGUGUUUUGAAUCGUUUAACAAGGAAGCACUACUUUACUUUUCGAGAUCUGGUUGAGGUUCUAGUUUUCUAUUCAAUCAUA